AUGUGUAAGUGCAUAAUACACUCAUUUAAAUAACCCCAUUAUGGGAACUUAUCAUUUUCUAUUCAUCUAUAGGACUUUGAUGAGUGCAUCUAUUAUAUUGAUGAAGCUACAAGAUCUGGUGGUGGUGCGUUGGUUCAUUGCUUUGUGGGAACAUCCAAAAGAUGUCACAGUUGAUCACUCAUUGUCGGAGUGUGACCAAUGCGCCUCCCACAUUAUCACCAUCUAUUGCUCCAGCCGUGAGUGCUCCAUUAAAUGGGGAGCCUACACCCCUCAUUAGUGUCGGUUUAGUCGUUCAGUGCACGAUGGCCUCAUCGGCGUCGUCGCGAGCCGGAGCCUUCUGAUGACACUUCCUCAGCAUCUAGAGUUAAGGGUAAGGCCUCCUAGCCAGGUAGUUUUUUCUAAUUCUCACCACGAUGUUUUUUUUUUUUUUUUUUUUUGUUCAUUUUAAAACUAAUAUUGUUAUGAUGGUGAAAAUUUGUUGAAUUGUGAAAAUCUGUUGCAGGUUGUGAAUUACUGUUAUUUUACUGUUUUAAGGUUUUGGGAAAUGCUUAACUAUUAAAGGAGGUUGUGUCGAAUUUUUUGUACAAAUUUAAGCAUAGGGUUUUCACCUUUUAAGUAUUUUUGGCCAGCUAAAAAAAACACCAAGGGGCCUAGUCGAAUGCUGAAGCAGGCACAGAACGUACGUCAGGCUGCCUCCAAGAUCAAGAUUGUGUAUGACCUGUGACAUCGUGAAGCGGCUACCUCACAGCAGCAUAGCAACGUCGCAGUAGUUGUGGUGUUGUUAUUCGACAAAAUUGUCCUUUUCAGUGGGAGUCUUGGGCAAAAAUUCCCUAUGAGACGAAGAAACUGGUGUGAGACAAGUUGUCGGUCAUUUAUGAUCUUCAGGACAUAUCCCUCGAGACCAUGGCCUACUUAGAGAAAACCUUAGCAACCCGGUACAAACAUUGGACGAACAAUUUUCACACAUAUUUUAAGUGAUGGGAUGAUCCGAAUAUUGCUCGCCUACAUGUUCCAAGCGAGUUGUAGGACCGGCCGGAGGAUUGGCAAUGGCUUUGCAAACAUUUUAAGUACCCAAAUUUUGUGAAGAAAUCUGUUCUUGGCAAGAAAGCUCAGGAGUCAAAGAAACUUCUCCACCAUUCCGGUUUGAUGCCCUUUUCGUAUAGGCUUGAGGCACAAUGUCAAGUAAAAGAGGGUUCUAAGUUCCCAGAGAUUGACAUGUUCAAGGACAUUUAUGUUCGACCUGGUAAUGAGACCACUAAGCAGCUUCAUCUGUUAUGGUGGAAAAGAGCAUUGCUGUUCUCUAAGAAGCAACAUUGC